UACGUAGGGCGCAAGCGUUGUCCGGAAUUAUUGGGCGUAAAGAGCUCGUAGGCGGUUUGUCGCGUCUGCUGUGAAAACUCGAGGCUCAACCUCGGGCUUGCAGUGGGUACGGGCAGACUAGAGUGCGGUAGGGGUGACUGGAAUUCCUGGUGUAGCGGUGGAAUGCGCAGAUAUCAGGAGGAACACCGAUGGCGAAGGCAGGUCACUGGGCCGCAACUGACGCUGGAGGAAGCGGAAAGCAUGGGGAGCGAACAGG
rnacentral:rRNA from 1 species